GGCUGAGCUUGUGUGUCUGGGCGCCCGCCACCGCCCGCGGGGCCUUGUCUGGUCGUGUGGUGACGGAGUGUGAGAUGAAGGACUCUGUGUGAAGCGUGUGGUGGCGGCGCCGUGCUGUGAGGGGAGGAGGGCGUAUGGUGGCGUCUCUGCGGGUCUGUGACGGAGCCGGCCGUGUGGGGACGGGGACGUGCGUCGGGCCCGCGUUCGUGUGUCCCCGCGAGGUCUGUGGUGGUCGUGCGAGGAAGAAGCGACUGCGCCUGUGGGAGGGCGCCGGGGGCGGCGCGUGAGUGUGGCUGUGCCGCUGGAGCGCGUUCGCGUGCGUGACCAUGUAAGUGGCCGUGUGGCGCUGUCUGGCGUGGCUGCGUGGUUUGACCCGGUGGCUGUCCGGCGUCAGCGGCUCUGCGGUUGUGCAUGGGUGGCGGUGUCACGGCGCCGUCGUGCUAUGUCCCUGCGGCCGCGGGAGGAGGGUCCCCGUGGGGAGGACGCUGCGCGGCUUCGCAGGCGUGCAGGCUUCUGGGUAAAAUCGGGUGAGGACAGCACCCGCGUCAGCGCUGGGACGGUUACCUGGGGUAACGUCGUGAAACCCGAAUACCCAGGACGGAGAGUCAGGGGGGCGCGGGCGCUGGGUGUUUGCUGUCGUCCUGGUGGCCGUGUGCCCUUGUCCCCGCCCUGAGGUGGGGGCACAGUGGGGAAUGCUAGCGGAAUCUUCGUCUCUGAAGUUGAGAUUGGGCGGCCAUCCUGGAAGCUGAGGAGCUGAACUCUUCUGGCCCAGUUGCUCCUUUGGGUCUGUUACUGCAGUAACGCAUCUGAAGAGAGGGCCGAGUCAGCCGUGGUUUCCCAGGUGGCACAGGGGUAAAGAGCCUGCCUGCCAAUGCUGUAGAUGCGCAGGCUUCUGGGUACAAUCGGGUGAUGACAGCACCCGCGUCGGCGCUGGGACGGUUACCUGGGGUAACGCCGUGAAACCCGAAUACCCAGGACGGAGCGCGGCUCAGCCCGGCGCGGGCGCUGGGUGUUUGCUGUCGUCCUGGUGGCCGUGUGCCCUUGUCCCCGCCCUGAGGUGGGGGCACAGUGGGGAAUGCUAGCGGAAUCUUCGUCUCUGAAGUUGAGAUUGGGCGGCCAUCCUGGAAGCUGAGGAGCUGAACUCUUCUGGCCCAGUUGCUCCUUUGGGUCUGUUACUGCAGUAACGCAUCUGAAGAGAGGGCCGAGUCAGCCGUGGUUUCCCAGGUGGCACAGGGGUAAAGAG
rnacentral:lncRNA from 1 species